GCUCUCACUGAGCUCCCCGCUGGACGCUCAACGGCGCCCGUGCCGCUGCAACGAGUAGGGGAGAGAGAUCCCGCCGGCAGGAAGAUGGCAGCAGAGGGACCCUCCAACAAAAUGGCAUCUGAUCUGGAAGCACAUAUGAAGCAAAGAUGUCAUUCCUUCAUGUGGAAGAAAUGGCACCCAUGACAUUCAUCAACGCUUGCUGAAAGUUUAUGGGGACAAAACUGUGCAUGUGAGAAUGGUAAGGUGGUACAUUUCAGCAGUGGCAAGAGGAAUGUGAAACAUGAGUCAUGUUUUGGAUAGCCAUGCAUGGGUAUCACACUGUAGAAUGAAGAGUGUCUCAAUAAGUUCACAUGCAUGAAUCAUUAGAUCAUGACCAGGGAACUGUGUAUAGAACUGAAUACUGGUUUUGAUGAAUUGGAAACAAUGGUAGCAUUAUUGGAAUAUUGCAGAAUUUGUGCCAAGUGUGCCCCAUGAAUGAUCACAGCAGGAUAAACACAGUAUGCAAGCUUGUCAGGACCUAUUGAACCAGUAUGAGAUUGAAGGUGAAUAUAUUCCAUAUCAUAUCAUUACUGAUGACAAGAUGCAGUGUCAUUACUGUGUGUUAGAGGCAAAAUGAUAGUCCAUGGAGUGGCAAGAUGUGAAUUCCCCAUUGAGGAGAAAAUUCAAGAUGUGGCUGUUGCUGUGCAAAAUAAUUUGCACUGUCUUUUAGAAUAGAGAAGAAGGUGAUCCUUCAGGGUUUCCUGGAACCCAGACAAACCAUCAACACUGACUAUGACAUCAUGGCUCGGGCUAAUCUGAAGGCUACAACUUCCAGAGUCAAGUCAGCAAAGAUUGCCUUUCUCUUGCAACAGGGUAAUACCAGGACCAAUGAAAGGAGAAAAGAGAACUGGGCAAUCUAUCCAUGAGAGCUACAGAGUCUAUCGUGAUUGGAUUUGAAAGCAUUGUAUGAAAAAAAUCAUUUAAUCUACUGGCUGAGGAUUUAUAUGGCCAGAAAAUAGGGCCAAAGUCUACUCUUAAUUCAGGUCUGGGGUGCUCUCCGUUAUGAGAAUAGAAAACAAGUUGUGUGGACUUGAAGGGAUGGUGAAAUUCCUCAUCCAACAUGUCUUUUAUCUACACCCUUAUGCAUCCAUAUCUUGAAGUUAGAUCAGCUUCAGUCAUGUGUGCUGCCAGCUUCACUCGUAUGUGCUUGCAGUGCUGUACAUUUUUCCUGUUCCACCUCCUUAAAUAAAACUCAGGAAAAUAAGGCAAGUAACGUGCUCAUUGAAUGUAUGUUGUUGGGUAAUAGUAAGGAUGUUUUAUUAUGUCUUAAAAAAUCUGUCUUGGAUGGUAUUCAUAUCAAAAUUGUCUUCUAAGGAAAUAGAUUUUUGAUUCUCAUUAUAUGAAAUAUUCAAAAACUAUAUCUACUAAUAUAUUUUGAUUGGAAGAAAUAAGCUCAAAUGCCUGAUGAGUUAAGCAUUUUUCCUGGAAUUCAAGGUCCAUAAGAAGUGGCAGAUGGGGUCACUUCACUGUUACUUCAUUUACAGAGUACACCCAAAAAGUCAACAGACUCAAAGCUGCAUGAAUCAGAAUGAUUAAUGUUCCAGGGUUAUAAUAUUCAGAUCAAAUACUGUUUUCUAAUUAUUUUUUUUUUGCUAUAUCACCUGGAUAGUUUACAAAGAAAAAGAAAUUGUUGCGUAGUGAAGAUUUUUAAAUUGGGCGUUUUGAUUAACAAUCUAUUGUCAUACGUCAGUUAAAGUCAUUAUGUACUUUUUUCUAUAUAUUCAGGUCAUGCAGUGAAAUUGGGGAGUUUGAAUUCUGUUGAAGUACAAUAUACAAGCAGUCCUGUACAGAACAGGAUGUGUAGGGGGAAAAAAUAUCAGCAAAUGUGUAGGAAAUUCCAGAAUUCAAUUUUUAUUUUUUUUUUCUUUCAAAGGCUAUGAAUUUUCUCAGGGCAUUCCUCAAAUGUAUAUCCAAAUAGUGAGGCCAGUAGUUACAGCUUGAUUAAUUUGGAGUAGAAAGAUGUUGAAAAGAAUGUGCUACUUGUGAUGAAAAGCAGUUGUUUAUUGUGGGUUUU